CCUACGGGAGGCAGCAGUGGGGAAUAUUGCACAAUGGGGGAAACCCUGAUGCAGCGACGCCGCGUGAGCGAGGAAGUAUUUCGGUAUGUAAAGCUCUAUCAGCAGGGACGAAAAAAGACGGUACCUGACUAAGAAGCCCCGGCUAACCACGGGCCAGCAGCAGCGGUAAUACGUGGGGGGCAAGCGUUAUCCGGAUUUAUUGGGUUUAAAGGGUGCGCAGGCGGCCUGUUAAGGCAGCGGUAAAAGCCCGGGGCUCAACCCCGGCGAGCCGGUGAAACUGGCGGGCUGGAGGUGGAGAGAAGUACGCGGAAUGCGCGGUGUAGCGGUGAAAUGCUUAGAUAUCGCGCAGAACCCCGAUUGCGAAGGCAGCGUACCGGCUCCACACUGACGCUGAGGCACGAAAGCGUGGGUAUCGAACAGGAUUAGAUACCCCUGUAGUC
rnacentral:rRNA from 1 species